GAGUAAAACUGCAAAGAUUGGUUGCUAAAUGUUGUCAAAAUAAAGAAAAUAUAGCCCUGUGAAGUUCGCAAAUUUUGUAUAGCUAUAUUUGUAUUACGCGCGGUAUAAAAAUAACCACUUUCGGCUCAAAAAUGAUACAAAUAUAUACAAAAUUUGCGAACUUCACAGGGCUAUAUAUUUUCUUCAUUUUACAACAUUUCGCAACCAAACUUUGCAAUUUUACUC